AGGCCGGUCGUCUAAUGGACAGGAUACCAGGUUUCGGCCCUGUUGAUGGGGGUUCGAGUCCCUCCCGGCCUG
rnacentral:tRNA from 1 species